AAACAAUAUGUAACUUGACCUUGCAUGCUGUUUGGUUUAGCCUUGAGGGUAAAGGGCUAAAGACCACCCUAUAUCUUGUAACACUGUUUUGGAAUGAUGAGGUGCUUUGGACCUGAUGACUUGUUUUCUGUUCUUAUGAUCAUUCAUUUAACCAGCAUACAUUCCCAUUACCGACAGCAUACAUAAUCCUGAAGUCUUCUCAGGGAAAAGGAAGGUCUUACAUCAGUGAUGAGCUUAAUAACUAAAUGUAAGCAAGUAUUUGAAGAGAUGAAGCACUGAUUCCUGAACCAUUUGUUAGAGAGGGUUAGAUCAGUUGGCUAAAACCUCUGUGUGUGUGUGGGGUGGGGGUAAGAGUAGAGGAUUGUGGUGGUUUGUUGUUGUUGUUGUUGUUGUUCUUGUUUUCUGGCAGUGAGACAGUGAAUACCGGACUCUCACUAAUUUCACAUGAAAUUUACAAAGAUCUACGGAGUUUGUUGGCUUCUCUUUCUUUUUCUUUUUCUCAAAGGAAUUUUGAAAACUUUAAAUGCUAUAUUGUCUAUAAUCUUGCAGCAAAAUGGUAGUUAAGAGUGAUGGUUUAAGUUGUUGCCAUUAAGAUGGCGAGAGAGAUCUACUAAGCACUGGUAUUCAGUAAUAAGAGUUCUUUUUGAUUCAGUUGAGGCUUGUCCCAGUCACAGAUACAAUAGUUGUUUUUGUUUAUGUUUGGUUUUAAAAUUGAUUUCAUGAGAUAAUGGUGAGAAGACAAUGUUGAAAUUUAUAGGCAUUAAAAGGUAUUGCCUUUAUAUAAUCUCGUCUUCAACUCUGGAUAAUAGUACCCAUAAUCAGGCUACAAUUCUUCCUAUGGUAUAUUUAAUGGAAAAUACUAUAUGGAACUAUUUUUAGUUUUUCAUCCAGUUGUUGUUUAAGUGUUUCAUUAUGGAAUUUUCAUAAUGCAGACUUGAGCCCUUUCUUACCCCCCACAAUUUUGUAGUUAUGACAGUUUUUAAAUGACUAUUUUGACUGUCAUCUCCAAACAUCCAAAAAUAAUGUUAAUUUUUCUGGAAAGGAAUAUUGACAUAUUUGCUCUCACAAGAGUCACCAUUUUGUAUUUAGUGUAUCUGAUAAUUCAUUCAGUAGAUGGCAGGUUCUGUGGUAGGUACUAAUAGUGAUUUCCAGACUUGGCUGCCAUCAGAACCACCUAGGGAGCUUUUAAGCAGUCACAGGCGUGGGCUGCAUCCUGGAAAGCAUUUUGAGUCUUUGGAGUUAUUAUGAGGUAAUAAUUGCUCCUUCUUCCCUCUUGUAAAGUGCAUCCAUGGUCAGAUUCCUUGGAGGGAGUGCCCGUGAGGAUAGCAGAACUGAGACUUGUACCCAGGGCGGUCUGAUUGUCAUGUCCAUGUACUGCGCUUGUGCUGUAGGUGGCCCCUGGUGGCCUGUGUAAAAUAUGUAGCUGAGGGUACUGUCUUCAAACAGUGGUCUUUGGGAAGAUAACACAUUUUCUUUAAAGGCAAAACAAAGUUGUUUGAAGUGUAAUUGUUUAGCCUUAGUAGCCAAACAAUAAGUAGUCAGAACUUCUUUCCUAUGGAAAUAUGUCUCAAGUAGCUUCUAAGAAAGAAGCUAAGCAUUUGCAAUACUGAAGGAAACUAAGGAGUUUAUACUUUGCAUAUGCAUGUACCAUGGCUAUAAGCCUAAAGAAUAUGGCCAUUUCAUGAAUUUUUUAAGCUAACUGCUCUUCUCUUUUCUUUGUAUGUUUCAUGAGUGAUGAACACUGUAUAACACUUCAUGGCUCCUACCACCUGCCUCACACCUGGUCAUUACAGCUUUAUGCUAAGAAAAAGUCUCUAGCUGGUGUAGUGGUGUACACUUUUAAUUCUAGCAUUUUGGAGGCAGAGGCAGGAGGCCAGCCUGAGUUCCAGAAAAGCCAAAGCUACAUAGUGAGAACUGCUUU
rnacentral:lncRNA from 1 species